rnacentral:rRNA from 1 species
UACGUAGGGGGCAAGCGUUGUCCGGAAUCAUUGGGCGUAAAGAGCGUGUAGGCGGCCCGGUAAGUCCGCUGUGAAAGUCCAGGGCUCAACCCUGGAAUGCCGGUGGAAACUGUCGGGCUAGAGUCCGGAAGAGGCGAGUGGAAUUCCUGGUGUAGCGGUGAAAUGCGCAGAUAUCAGGAGGAACACCGGUGGCGAAGGCGGUUCUCUGGGCAUUACCUGACGCUGAGGCGCGACAGCGUGGGGAGCAAACAGG